rnacentral:ncRNA from 1 species
UCAAAGAUAAAAACGCAAUAUGCAUUGUCAUGAUGUGUUAGAACUGGUAGGUAGCCCAGUCGUCUAAAUGAUAGCCAUUUAGGUAAGUAACCUGCCCCUCCGGGUUGUCCAUUCUUUGAUCA